GACAGAGGUGCCAAGCGUUAGGCGGAAUCACUGGGCUUAAAGCGUGUGUAGGCGGAUCGUUAAGUACCUUGUGAAAUCCCACGGCUCAACCGUGGAACUGCUGGGUAUACUGGCGGUCUUGAGCCACCUAGGGGCAACUGGAACAAGCGGUGGAGCGGUGAAAUGCGUAGAUAUCGCUUGGAACGCCAACGGUGAAAACAGGUUGCUGGGGGUGUGCUGACGCUGAGACACGAAAGCCAGGGAAGCGAACGGG
rnacentral:rRNA from 1 species